CGCUAGCCAAGGGUUUUCGGUCCACUUUGCUCCCCAUAAACCCUUGGCGGAUUUCAUUGCGAAAACUCGGUGACGAGCUCCGUUUUAUGAUUGGCUGCAGCUGCGAGUAGCUGAUCCAAUCGCAGUGCUUGUAAAUAUAAACUUUAAAAGAAAACACAGGUGUGAUCUUUGGUAAAUCAUUCGGUGCUUUUAACAAAUUGAGACACAAGUUCUCGACUACAGUGCCUCGCCAACGAUGGUCUAACUCAAGUUGCUCGCUAGAUAGCGCCACCACAUCACCGAGUUUUCGCAAUGAAAUCCGCCAAGGGUUUAUGGGGAGCAAAGUGGACCGAAAACCCUUGGCUAGCGAAGAUGACUAUUUUGAACCAGAACAGUUUGUGUGGAUUAAUUCGAGAUCGAUCUAAACAAGUCACUGGGACUACGGAGAUAACUCAGACUGCAUGGACUAUCGUCAGAAUAGCUAACCCAUAUCUACUUAGAAAUGGAAGAAAUGAUAAUUGAGGAUGUUUGUAGAGCUAUGAAGAUGGUGACAGCUCCAUUAUUGGUACUGUCAGCAAUAACCCUUAUAUCCACGACAGACCAUCUACGGAAGCAGAAUACAACAACCCAGAAGUGUGCAAAAAACUAUAUGGUGACAAAAAGGAAUUUCAUGCAAGACUUGAAUCCAGGCGAAGAGACUUUGACAAACUAUAGUACAACUUUGUUUAUGAUGAGGAAUCUUUCUAAAUUUUCAGCCUGAAUGGUGUGUGUGUGUGUGUGUGUGUGUGUGUGUGGCUGGAUAGAAAUUCAUAACAUCAUCUUUAAGUUAAUAUAUAUUCAAAGUGUUUGUAACAAUACCGAGCUAAAUUAUAAAUCACCGUAUAUCCCGGUUUAAAAAAUAACAAAAAAUGUAAUACAAACAAAAUAGUAAAUUUAUUUCUACGGGAAACUGGCAGUCCUUGGGAAAUGCUGCCAUUUCAAGGAGUCACUUACAUCAGUCAAACAACAAUAUUAAACUACCAAACAUGUCCGACUCUUAGAGGCUCACUCUUCAUCAAUCAUUGUGAUCAUGUGACGAUCACGUGUUCAAUGAUGAAAAGGGCCACGCAUGGCAAUGCUUGAGGUAAUGGGGGUUGGAUCAAACAGGGACUUCAGUGGUUCAUACAACAAAUUAGCGAUGAGAAGGAUAAAACAUUUACUCCUUUUACCUGAUCGAAUUCUACGUGUCAAACUGCCUUCCGUUUCACAGUAAAAAUUAAACUUUGACUAAUAGUUCUGGAAUGUUUCUACGAUAAUUGUAAAAGUAAAUAUUUGCUGUUAGUAUACAUAAAUAAAU